rnacentral:rRNA from 1 species
AACGAACGCUGGCGGCGUGCUUAACACAUGCAAGUCGAACGAACCUUCGGGUUAGUGGCGGACGGGUGAGUAACGCGUGAGAAUCUGCCCUCAGGAGGGGGACAACAGCUGGAAACGGCUGCUAAUACCCCAUAUGCCGCGAGGUGAAAUGAAUUUCGCCUGAGGAUGAGCUCGCGUCUGAUUAGCUAGUUGGUGUAGGUAAUGGCUCACCAAGGCAUCGAUCAGUAGCUGGUCUGAGAGGAUGAUCAGCCACACUGGGACUGAGACACGGCCCAGACUCCUACGGGAGGCAGCAGUGGGGAAUUUUCCGCAAUGGGCGAAAGCCUGACGGAGCAACGCCGCGUGAGGGAUGAAGGCCUCUGGGCUGUAAACCUCUUUUAUCAAGGAAGAAGAUCUGACGGUACUUGAUGAAUAAGCCACGGCUAAUUCCGUG